UAUACACUCUAAAAACGGCUGGGUUGUUUUUUAACCCAAAAUGCUGGGUUGAGUCUGUUGGGUCAUUUUGUUGGGUUAUUUUAUUACUUUUUAAACACUUUUGGGUAGUUUCGAUUUACCAGGUGUUGAGUUAAACCUGCUGGGUUGUAACGCUGGGUUGUUUCAGGCCAGCGCUGGGUUAUUUAACGCGCCUUGACGAUGUUUAAAUCGCACCGGUAACUGUCAUUUUGGAAGGACAAAGGGGCGAAGCCACUGGUUUCAACUGUUUUAAGUCAGAAAAGCACAUGGAUGCAUUCGUGAGGGGAAAACUCGUCGAGUGGCAGUUACCCAGUCUUAUCGAGACAUUUAACGAAUAUUAAAGAGAUUCUCAUGGCCUCCCAUGAGGGGAGAUGGAUUUCAGCAGCUUUAGAGAAGGAAAAAAGCAUCACAAUUAAACAGAGACGUGCACUGGUGCGAAUCCUGGUGGCCUUUUUAAUUGAAAAGUUUGGCGAAAUGCCAACUUCUGACACCAAGAAGGCUAUGGCAAUGGCGUUAAUUGAAGAGUUUCCCUGCCUUAAAGACAUCAGAGGCAAUGGCUAUGAGGCAUUUUACACACCAGGCCGGAACCACCGUCCAGCCACAGGCUUCAUUGAGGAGCGCUUACGAAACAUCAGAAAGAGAAUGAGAAAACUUUCCAGACCUCAAAGACAUGAAGAGGACACAUCACAUAGGAUGGUAAUCCCUGAACCUACUAUUCCAACGGAGAGAGCCCAAAGUCUUGUGAACUGGCUGAAAAAUAACCAUGCACCUAUUAACCAAGUGGUAGAAAAUAUGAAGGAGACAGCCUUAUAUCGGGCUAAGUGGAUCCGACAGAAUGGGACAAAGAGCAUCACAGAGGUUCUCCAUGAGUUCCCGCAUCUCUUGAACACACCUGGCAUGAUUUCCCAAGACUUUGAUCAGGUCCAUGGAGAAACUGGACUGAAGCUUUUUGAAUCGUGGGC
ensembl:lncRNA